rnacentral:rRNA from 1 species
GAUGAACGCUAGCGACAGGCUUAACACAUGCAAGUCGAGGGGCAGCGUGCGGAAGUGGCAACACUUCUGUGACGGCGACCGGCGCACUGGUGAGUAACACGUAUGCAACCUGCCCCCGACUGGGGAAUAAUCGCGGGAAACCGCGUCUAAUGCCCCAUAGUUCCCCGGGCCCGCAUGGGCCCGGGGGGAAAGGUCCGUUCCGGUCGGGGAUGGGCAUGCGGCGCAUUAGGUAGUUGGCGGGGCGACGGCCCACCAAGCCGACGAUGCGUAGGGGUUCUGAGAGGAAGGUCCCCCACAUUGGUACUGAGACACGGGCCAAACUCCUACGGGAGGCAGCAGUGAGGAAUAUUGGUCAAUGGACGGGAGUCUGAACCAGCCAAGUCGCGUGAGGGAUGAAGGUCCUACGGAUUGUAAACCUCUUUUGCCGGGGAGUAACGUCGUCCACGCGUGGGCGAGUGAGAGUACCCGGAGAAAAAGCAUCGGCUAACUCCGUGCCAGCAGCCGCGGUAAUACGGAGGAUGCGAGCGUUAUCCGGAUUUAUUGGGUUUAAAGGGUGCGCAGGCGGCGCGUCAAGUCAGCGGUAAAAAUGCGGCGCUCAACGCCGUAGAGCCGUUGAAACUGGCGCGCUCGAGUAUGUGCGAGGAAGGCGGAAUGCGUGGUGUAGCGGUGAAAUGCAUAGAUAUCACGCAGAACCCCGAUUGCGAAGGCAGCUUUCCAGCACACGACUGACGCUGAGGCACGAAAGCGUGGGUAUCGAACAGGAUUAGAUACCCUGGUAGUCCACGCAGUAAACGAUGAAUACUGGCUGUGCGGGGCGAUUGGGCCCUGCGCGGCUGAGCGAAAGCGUUAAGUAUUCCACCUGGGGAGUACGCCGGCAACGGUGAAACUCAAAGGAAUUGACGGGGGCCCGCACAAGCGGAGGAACAUGUGGUUUAAUUCGAUGAUACGCGAGGAACCUUACCCGGGCUCAAACGGCGGCGGACGACCCUUGAAAGGGGGUUUCCGGCAACGGCCACCGCCGAGGUGCCGCAUGGUUGUCGUCAGCUCGUGCCGUGAGGUGUCGGCUUAAGUGCCAUAACGAGCGCAACCCCCAUCCGCAGUUGCCACCGCGUGAAGGCGGGCACUCUGCGGAGACUGCCGGCGCAAGCUGUGAGGAAGGCGGGGAUGACGUCAGAUCAGCGACGGCCCUUACGUCCGGGGCGACGCGCGUGUUACAAUGGCGGAGCACAGAGGGAAAGCCAGGCGGCGAACGCCGAGCCGAUCCCGAAAAUCCGUCUCAGUUUCGGAAUUGGAGUCUGCAACCCGAACUCCAUGAAAGCUGGAUUCGCUAGUUAAUUCGCGCAUUCAGGCCACGGCGCGGUGAAUACGUUUCCCGGGCCU